rnacentral:rRNA from 1 species
UACGGGGGGAGCAAGCGUUGUUCGGAUUUACUGGGCGUAAAGGGCGCGUAGGCGGUCAGCACAAGUCAGUUGUGAAAUCUCCGGGCUUAACUCGGAAAGGUCAACUGAUACUGUGCGACUAGAGUGCAGAAGGGGCAACUGGAAUUCUCGGUGUAGCGGUGAAAUGCGUAGAUAUCAAGAGGAACACCUGAGGUGAAGACGGGUUGCUGGGCCGACACUGACGCUGAGUGCGCGAAAGCCAGGGGAGCAAACGGGG